GGGUGUUAUCCUCAAAUGGCAUUUAUUUAACAUUUUGCUAUUUUUUCAUUAUACUCUCCCUCUUCGUAAUAUCUGUGGAUUUUCUGAAUCUAACCGAAGGCUGUGGUAGAUCACUUACCAAUUUUGGUAUACCUAUAUGUUCUUUCAGAUGUGUUCAUUACCUAGUUAUUGCUACCAUUUCCCCUCCUUUCAGCCCCACUUGUUAGGAAGUAACGCAAUCUAUGACAGCACAAUAUAACCUAGGCGACAUGUCUCCGUGGAUAUAAGGUCCCUUCAUAUGUUUUUCAAUCCUGUUAUUAUGCCUUUUGUAAUAACAGAAAGAGUUCAAU